CCCGGUCUCCGCGUCUCUCCCUUCCCCUGCCUCACCUCGCGCCGAAGAAAUCCUAGCGGUGACGACGUCCCUCGCUCCUCUGCUCUCUUAUCCGUUUUUCUUGGGCGAUUCAUUGAUUUCCUUUCUGCUCGCGAUCGGUAGCUGCAUUCGCGGAUUUGGUCCAUCCAAUCGUUGCUGUUUAAUUCUACCUGGGCUUUCCCCCCAUGUACUGAUGGUGAUUUGUGUUGCAGUUCGUGUUUUUGUUCUCAUUUCUUUCCUCCCCUUCUUUUGCAUCGUAUUUUUCAGGAUCGAGAAGUUAUUGAGCUAUUGAGGUGUUGAUUGCUUGUGGCGGACUCUAGAGAAAUUUGUUGGUGAUCUGGGGAACUGCUGGUCCGGUUAGGGCUGGCUUCAAUAAUCCAACCAUGGCUCCAGGAGAAGAAUACCGUGCUUUAAGUCAAAGGGGAGGACAAUGCUCUCAGUUCUCUACUAAGUUUCUGCUUGCCUCCCCUUCUUUCCACGGUGGUAGGGGUGCCCUACCUUGGGAUCUGACAUUCCUUUCGGGCGGUGGUGUCAAAGUUAGAUCCGGAUUUGCUUUUACAUUGAUCAUAGUUGGCGCAGUUAAGCAUUGGAGACUUAGAUAUGUAUGUUGUCAGCCAAACAGGUUGAAGGUGAGACGGCCACUCUGAAGCAGAUCAUGAGCUUCGAGGGGUCUAAAAGUCGUCAAUCGCCUCUAAUAGUUAAAAUAAUUGAAGUUGAUUUAUGGAGUUGUCACGAAAAUAGGAAUGCUAACUAAAAAAAUGCAGGCAUUAUCACAAAUAUAUAUCGGCUUGGUAUACUUGCAAAAGCUGAUGGCACUUGUGAGGACCUACAAUGCUCUGAGACAGAAGACAGAAUCUUCUGGACAUCAUCGUCCCCUCGCAGGUAUAUCAGCUAUAUAAGCAUUUACUGUAUUUUGGUCCCUUAAGGGACUUUUUUUUUACAUUUUAACCACUAACAUGCAGUGGGAGAAUCAUGCUUGGAAGGAUCAGUUUAAAUAUGAUGCUACCACUUGCCAAAUAAAGAUGACUACUGGUGGAAAGCUCAUUACUGAAUUGAAUGAAAAUUGGUACUCAAAUAUCAUUGUCGAUGAGAACAAAAUGUUCCAGUCUGUGAGCCCCAGCAGAGCAAGUUAUGUGAAACCUCACAGAGAAGAUCUUUUUUAUGUGUGUCAUGUGGAGAAAGGAAGGGCUCUGAGCUUGUUCAUUCAACUGCUGCCUAAAGAUGGAAUUUCAGUUGUCACUAUUGUAAGUACACUUGCCAAGUUGCCCGUAAUUUAGGAUUAGUUGCUGGACUAUUUGAUGUAUGUUUGAUGUGAUCUCUUGUUUAAAACUAAAUCCUGUUAAAUAUGAACAUGUUUUUCCUGGUACCAUAUGAUGUGCAUCAGAUAACUGAGCUCUUAGAUGAGAAGG